UUUACCAAAAACAUCACCUCUAGCAUAAAAAGUAUUAGAGGCACUGCCUGCCCGGUGACCUAAAUUUAACGGCCGCGGUAUCCUGACCGUGCAAAUCACUUGUUCCCUAAAUAGGGACUUGUAUGAAUGGCCCCAUGAGGGUUUUGCUGUCUCUUAUUUCAAAUCAGUGAAAUUGACAUUCCCGUGAAGAGGCGGGAAUAAGAAAAUAAGACGAGAAGACCCUAUGGAGCUUUAAUUCACUAACUCAUAUUACUAUCCUAACUCCUCACGAGGAAUAAACCCACUAUUAGUGAGUUAGCAAUUUAGGUUGGGGUGACCUCGGAAUAAAACCUAACCUCCGAGAAACAUUUUUAAGACCUACAAGUCAAAAUCAUAUACUAACACACAAUGAUCCGCCAAUGACGAUCAACGAAACAAGUUACCCUAGGGAUAACAGCGCAAUCCUAUUCAAGAGUCCAUAUCGACAAUUAGGGUUUACGACCUCGAUGUUGGAUCAGGACAUCCCAAUGGUGUAGCAGCUAU
rnacentral:rRNA from 1 species